UUGGAAAGUUGGAUGCAUGUAGCUUGUCAAUCACCACUCUUCCGGGGUUCGACAGAACAAGCUGUUCAAGAAAUGAAGAAGAUAAGAUUUUUAGACACAAAUUUGUAGUUUUUGAGGCUUCUGAGCAACUCUUCCAAGGCAUGGAUUCCACUGGUGUCAAUGUCAGUAACAGCUGAAAGGAGAAGAGAAGAAACACGAUGAGUCGCUAAGUGUAUGAUUCCAAUAAGUAGGAUAACAUGCUCUUAAUUUCAGCGACAAAGGAACUUUUGUUGCCUCGGGGUAUUGUUGACUGUUCCUGUAUACAUUUGUCCGGGGUAUCCUACCAAGAGUAGCUGUUCGCGGCCUUGUGACUUGGAGGAGAAUCUUA